GACGAACGCUGGCGGCGUGCUUAACACAUGCAAGUCGAACGGAAAGGCCCUGCUUUUGUGGGGUGCUCGAGUGGCGAACGGGUGAGUAACACGUGAGUAACCUGCCCUUGACUUUGGGAUAACUUCAGGAAACUGGGGCUAAUACCGGAUAGGAGCUCCUGCUGCAUGGUGGGGGUUGGAAAGUUUCGGCGGUUGGGGAUGGACUCGCGGCUUAUCAGCUUGUUGGUGGGGUAGUGGCUUACCAAGGCUUUGACGGGUAGCCGGCCUGAGAGGGUGACCGGCCACAUUGGGACUGAGAUACGGCCCAGACUCCUACGGGAGGCAGCAGUGGGGAAUAUUGCACAAUGGGCGGAAGCCUGAUGCAGCAACGCCGCGUGCGGGAGGACGGCCUUCGGGUUAUAAACCGCUUUCGCCUGUGACGAAGCGUGAGUGACGGUAAUGGGUAAAGAAGCACCGGCUAACUACGU
rnacentral:rRNA from 1 species